rnacentral:ncRNA from 1 species
ACGGAAAGAUCCCNGUGAACCUUUACUAUAGCUUGACACUGAACAUUGAGCCUUGAUGUGUAGGAUAGGUGGGAGGCUUUGAAGUGUGGACGCCUNUCUGCAUGGAGCCGACCUUGAAAUACCACCCUUUAAUGUUUGAUGUUCUAACGUUGACCCGUAAUCCGGGUUGCGGACAGUGUCUGGUGGGUAGUUUGACUGGGGCGGUCUCCUCCUAAAGAGUAACGGAGGAGCACGAAGGUUGGCUAAUCCUGGUCGGACAUCAGGAGGUUAGUGCAAUGGCAUAAGCCAGCUUGACUGCGAGCGUGACGGCGCGAGCAGGUGCGAAAGCAGGUCAUAGUGAUCCGGUGGUUCUGAAUGGAAGGGCCAUCGCUCAACGGGUAAAAGGUACUCCGGGGAUAACAGGCUGAUACCGCCCAAGAGUUCAUAUCGACGGCGGUGUUUGGCACCUCGAUGUCGGCUCAUCACAUCCUGGGGCUGAAGUAGGUCCCAAGGGUAUGGCUG